UACGGAGGAUGCAAGCGUUAUCCGGAUUUAUUGGGUUUAAAGGGUGCGUAGGCGGCCUGUUAAGUCAGAGGUGAAAGGUUGCGGCUUAACCGCAGACAUGCCUUUGAUACUGGCGGGCUUGAAUAAAGUUGAGGUAGGCGGAAUGUGGCAAGUAGCGGUGAAAUGCAUAGAGAUGCCACAGAGCACCGAUUGCGAAGGCAGCUUACUAAGCUUUGAUUGACGCUGAGGCACGAAAGCGUGGGGAUCAAACAGGAUUAGAUACCCGU
rnacentral:rRNA from 1 species